CCUACGGUGAGCUGCAGUGGGGAAUAUUGGGCAAUGGGCGCAAGCCUGACCCAGCAACGCCGCGUGAAGGAAGAAGGCUUACGGGUUGUAAACUUCUUUUCUCAGGGACGAAGCAAGUGACGGUACCUGAGGAAUAAGCCACGGCUAACUACGUGCCAGCAGCCGCGGUAAUACGUAGGUGGCAAGCGUUAUCCGGAUGUACUGGGCGUAAAGGGAGCGUAGGCGGGCGGUCAAGUCAGCUGUAAAAUCGCGCGGCUCAACCGCGCACCGCAGUUGAAACCGGACGCCUUGAGUUCACAACAGGCAGGCGGAAUUCGUGGUGUAGCUGUGAAAUGCAUAGAUAUCACGAGGAACCCCGAUUGCGAAGGCAGCCUGCCGGGGUGCGACUGACGCUGAGGCUCGAAGGUGCGGGUAUCAAACAGGAUUAGAUACCCCUGUAGUC
rnacentral:rRNA from 1 species